GAUGAACGCUGGCGGCGUGCCUAAUACAUGCAAGUCGAGCGAACAGACGAGAGUGCUUGCACUCUCUGACGUUAGCGGCGGACGGGUGAGUCACACGUGGGUAACCUACCUAUAAGACUGGGAUAACUUCGGGAAACCGGAUCUAAUACCGGAUAAUAUUUAGCUUCGCAUGAAGCAAUAGUGAAAGACUGUUCUGCUGUCACUUAUAGAUGGACCCGCGGUGUAUUAGCUAGUUGGUGAGGUAACGGCUCACCAAGGCAACGAUACAUAGCCGACCUGAGAGGGUGAUCGGCCACACUGGGACUGAGACACGGCCCAGACUCCUACGGGAGGCAGCAGUAGGGAAUCUUCCGCAAUGGACGAAAGUCUGACGGAGCAAUGCCGCGUGAGUGAAGAAGGUUUUCGGAUCGUAAAACUCUGUUGUAAGGGAAGAACAAGUACGUUAGUAACUGAACGUACCUUGACGGUACCUUACCAGAAAGCCACGGCUAACUACGUG
rnacentral:rRNA from 1 species